rnacentral:rRNA from 1 species
GAGGGUGAGUUACAUAUCCUGCCCUACCGAUGGGUGCGGGAUACCUAAUCGACCGAUUAUAUCAUAUGGCCUAUUUUCUGAGGAUGAAAGAAAGAGAACAUAUGGCCUUGCCCUGUUUGAACGGACGAUAUCUGAUUAGAUUAUUGGUGGGGUAAAGGCCUACCCGGCGACCAUCAAUCACGGGCCUGACAGAAUGAUCCACCGGCCUGGGUGUGACUGACACCCCGCACUCCUUCCUACGGCAGGCAUGGGGAAUUAUGCUUCCUGGGCGCACGACUGAUCCACCCAUGCCCCCCGCCUGAAUAAAGACUGUCUUCUGAUCAGGACUUUUGUCUGGUGGGAACAAGGGGAGGUGGAAACACCUGCCUGAUGACGGACCCUACCCAAAUAAGCACCGGCUAACUAACUACCUGCCACCGCUGUAAUACAUAGGGUGUGAGCGUUAAUCGUCAAUUACUGAUUGGUAAAGCGGGCGAGCGACGGUUACUACGGUAAGAUGUUCUUUCCCCGGGCUCAACCUGCCAACUGCGUUCUGAACUGUAUGACUCUUGUGUGCCGGAGAGAAGUACAAUUCUCCCUGUGUCACUGAAAUGUGCAUAGAUGUUGAGGAGAACAGAUGUGGAGAGCGCGCUCCUGUGAUCACACUGAGACUCUGGCACUAGAGAGUGAGUAGAGCACACGAUUUUAUAUACUGCGGGUCCC